rnacentral:lncRNA from 1 species
UCCCAUAUCAGAUAUAAAGGUCUGAAAGUCUCAAAAACCUAAGACCAAAAAUGCAUGUUUCUCAUUUCCCUCACCAAACUAACGCCGCCCCUGAGCAAUUCAGCCAUGGUCGUCGGCGGAUUGACCUCCAAAUACCCUAAAAUUAACACCCCUUGACCACCACAAUACCCUCAUACUGAAUCCAUAAGCCAUUUUCCUCAAAUACUCCUCAGCCUUCUCGAAUCUUACAUCCAAAAUCCGAGUUUCUGAGAGCCAAAGCCAAACCUGAGCAUGCAAGGUGAUUGCUCCAACCUUCAGAAGUUUUAGAGUCGAUUUUGUCACGAAAUAGUGUUGUCCGCUUGUUCUUGACAAAGAACAAGCGGUUAACAUUAUUUGGCGAUGAAUUCGGAAAGUUAGGCAUCGAAGUCAAGUUUCAUGAGGUGAGUUCUUCCACUGUUCGAUUAUUUUUGGGUAUUUUGGCUUCCGUUCUUCCUCUUUUCUUCUUUUUCUCUGAACAAUUCAAUCGACACUCAAAUCAGGUUUUAUCCAAAUUAAUUAACUGUCUGUUUGUUCUUCUAUAGUCUGUUCCUCAAUCCUGUUUUGGUCAUAGUUUGAUUACUGUCAAUUUUAUCACUAGCUAAUAAAAUUAGGGCCUGGACUCAGUUAAAUUACUGUCACGUGCUAGAUUGGUUAAAUUCGAUUUUUUUUUUCUUGUGGCUGUUUGUUUAAAAGAAAUAGCUUCAGAUUUUUUUUGUUUGGGAAAAUUUUGGGGCCAACUCUAACAUGGGUUCCCUAAGUGUUUUAAUUGGGCUUCUACAAAUUUAAAAGCCCAAAAAAGGGUAUGGGUAGGGAUUUAAUUUGGUUCUACAGACCCAUUAGUUUGGUCAGUUGACCUAGGUUGGGUUAAGAGUAAAACCAGAGAAUUAAGAUGGUAAUUUUGGGGUAAUUGGGGAGAAGAAUCUUUUGGUAACUAACUAGAAAGCUUCCUUGAAGCUGGGGUGGAGGGUUGUGUUGAUAAUUUGAUAAUUACCUUAGGGGUAGUUAAGCAAAAAGGAAAUUUAGCUAAGGAUCUCUGAGUUAAAAACCAAAGUUGGAAAGGGAAUAAGGGGUAAAAACUAAUUCCUAAAAAAUGCCCUACUUCCUUGCCUAUAAAGACAUAAUUUCUUUCAUUUCAAGGCAGAUAUAGAAGAGAAAAUCUGUAGACUGGGAUAUCUACAUUUGACUACAUUGUUAAAACUCUCUGGAAAUACUUCAUAACUACAUUGCUAAUUAAUAUUAAAAGAUAAAUUUUUUAANNNNNNNNNNNNNNNNNNNNNNNNNNNNNNNNNNNNNNNNNNNNNNNNNNNNNNNNNNNNNNNNNNNNNNGGGGGGGGAAACGGCUGAGCUCUUAUAUUGUUUGAUUGCAUUUCUUCAGUAGACCUUGAUUUGUUUAGUUUCUGAGAUAAUUUUGAUUUAGUUGAUAUGGAAAUGGUUUAAGUAUAGAUUUCAAAAGCUUGGUCUAAAGUUGUUGUAGUCAUAGCUCGAUUGGGACUGCUUUUUGUUACUGCUUCAUCUCAAAUUUCUGGUCUGAGCUAAUUUGCUGAAGCAGUUGUUCUAUUGCUGUUACUAUUUCUUCAUCUUUUUUUCCUUUAAUCUCCAGGUACUAUAUCUUGAGAUCUAUUAAACAUGUGAAGUCAGAUUUGUGCAUGAAAUCAAAGAGUGGGAUUCAGAUCAUGGCUUUAAUUGGUGCUGCAUUUCGUUUAUAUGACACUAUGUUGUAGUUCAUUUCAUUUCAUAGUUAGUUUCUAUGUGAUUUAACGACUGUUUAUCACUGCUGUAGUGAAAGUUUAUUUGAGCUAUGAAAGACAUACUUAUGUUUAAAUUUUGCUGGAAGCAAUGGGUAUUUGCUUUAAGAAUGUUCAAGUCAAAUGUGGAUCAGCUGAAUCCAUAUGAUUCUAUUAAGCUAUGAACUAUACAAGGCAUUAGUUUUUUUUUUUUUGAUAACUCUGAUUCGAGUUAUGAUGAAGAUUAACUCUGUUUCUUUUUAUGAUUUUCACUUAAGGCUGUCAAAUGCUAAGAAUGCUAGUAAGUUCAUACUGAUAUGUUUAUGAGAUGCCUGUAAAUGUAUUUAGUGUGAGGUAAAUUCUGAUUCUUAAUAUUUAUUAGAUUAGUUAUAAAAUUGUUAUUUUGGGUCACAUAGCUCGAGCAAAUAUCAUGUAUGUAUGAAACUGUCUUUUUGAAAUCAGUUUUUAAAGACAGAGGCGAGCAUGAAUACAUGAUGAAUGUUUAGUUCUGAGUUUUUCCCAAAUUGUUUAGCUGUUCAUUCCUUCUUGAAACAAUUAACUUUGGAGG